ensembl:lncRNA
GAAUUAUGCUGAAGGAUGGUGUUGGAGAAAAAAGACACCAGAGUGAAUUGGACUGUAGGAAGACAAGCCAUGACCUGCGGAGAGACUUCACUUGCAUGGAUGAGAGAGUCUGGUGUCCAUUUUCAUUAUGCCUAGGUCAAGCUGCUGAAACCUCCUAUAGAGACUAUGUUGUAGCGACGUUUGUGGUGUGGAACUGUCCACAAGAUACUACCUGGUCAAUUGAGGAACUUGAAAAACCACUGAAUGGAAGCAAUUUUUUGUCACCUUCUGUAAAUCUGAUUCAUGAAUAUAGAACCUCUGUGUGAGGAAGUCUUCCACAUGUUUCUGGUUUCUAGAUGUUUAUCCCCCUGUAGAGCAGGUACAAAUGACCCUGAGGCUGUGGCAAUUGGGAUUUGUUCCCUAAUUUCAAAAGUUUGUGUUCUUUGAGCUCUGUUUCCAAGGGCCUUUCCUGCAGCUGUACAACUUAGACUUAAAACAUCUACCUGUAUUGUGCUCCUACUGUCUAAAUCAGGGGUUGGCAACCUACAGCUCAUGGGACAGAUCCAGCCUGCAAAGGUUUGAUCGGCCUGCAACUGCGAUCAGCCACAGGGGGGAUUGAUAGCAUGCUGUGAGUAGGGUGCCAGAAUGAAGCCCCCUCAAUCCCUCCCACUGCAGUCACCGCUUUUUUUGGUUGCUGAAUCCACCGCUAUCUAUUGCCAGACGAAGCAGGGAGACUACAAGGGAAGUGAUUGGAUUGAGCCCCAAUGACCUCAGCCUGCCUCUUGUGAAAUAUUUGCCUAUCUAGAGUAGUGGGGGAAAACCUCGGCUGGUGUGCCUCAAUUUAGUCUCGCACCCUCCUCAAGGGUCACUCCAAUCUUUGUCCCGAACAAUCUGCUCUUCUGUUUUGUUCCGAGCCUUGCGCUCCCUGCUUGAUCUGAUGCUGUGUGUCUGCUUUCUGCUGUAUCUGCCUGUCCCCCCCUCGGUCUGCUGUGUUUUGCAUGCAGAGGAUGCAUGUGCCACUUGUGGCCUCUGUGCUGUGGGUUAGGCACCCCUGAUGUAGAAGAUAUGCGGGAAGAUACUGAUCAUACCUAGUAUUUUGGUGGUUAAAAUGUAUCUAUUCCCAUGCUUGGUGGGAUAUAUAAUAGAAAAGUGGCUCCUGUAGCCAUAAGGAUGAAGAGCUUGUAUCUUCAUUAAACUCAGUAGUGCUGCAUUCAUGCACCCUUUGGGUCCCUCCCAAGGAAUGUCCAUUGUUCUGGGGAUUGAGAUUUUUCCAGCUAUCCUUCGCAAAGCUAAUAACUAGGUCUCCAGAUCUAAAUUCUUGCUGCAUGUGCCUGUUUACUGAAGACUUGGUGUAUAGGGUGAGUAUAAACAUGACCAUGCAUAGCCGUAACUAGGAAUCACAAUUUAGACCCAGUAAAAUAAUUGAGCUAAUUUUAGGGUAAUUUUAUUCCAGGGUUAAGUGUUUUGUUUUCCACUGAGUAUUGGUGAAAAGGAAAUGGAAGGAAAAGAACAGAGAUGAUGAUUAUUACUUUUCAGUUUAUUCAGAGAAUGUAUAUACUGGUCAGGCCGCAGCUGGAGUACUGCGUCCAGUUCUGGGCCCUGCACUUCAAGGGGGAUGUGGACAACAUGGAGAAGGUCCAGAGGAGGGCCACUUGUACAAUCAGGGGACAGCAGGGCAGCCCUAUGAGGAGAGGCUACGGGACCUGAACCUGUUCAGCCUCCANNNNNNNNNNNNNNNNNNNNNNNNNNNNNNNNNNNNNNNNNNNNNNNNNNNNNNNNNNNNNNNNNNNNNNNNNNNNNNNNNNNNNNNNNNNNNNNNNNNNNNNNNNNNNNNNNNNNNNNNNNNNNNNNNNNNNNNNNNNNNNNNNNNNNNNNNNNNNNNNNNNNNNNNNNNNNNNNNNNNNNNNNNNNNNNNNAACACCUUGCUGGGGUCGUUUGACCCCAGUACUCUUUCCUGCCAUGGCAGGGGGUCGGACUAGAUGAUCUACUCGGGUCGCUUCUGACCCUAGAAACUAUGAAACUAUAUUUUAUUUCUUAUAGAAUCCUGGGUGCCAUUUCCCACUUAAUAGUCUUAGGCCCUAUCAACAUGAUAUGUGCCUACAAUAAGUACUUAAAAUAAUCGCAAGUGUUGCAGACCACACAGUUCAUUAAGAUGGAAGCGGAGGUUACUUGCACAUUUCUGCCUUCGGGGAAGGGAAGUAAAAUGCAGGCCAUUGUUUGCUGGGAAAGCAAAAUAAGUAGGCAGUGUUUUACUAUAUGUAAAGGCAAGCACAAUUUCUGUCCCAGAGGAAUCAAAGGAGGACAAAAGAUUCCUGCGUGUUACAGGUUUCCAACAUAACUGCCCAGGUGGGAGGAAUAUAGAGCCAUUGAUUUUAUUUGUAUCCAUAGCACUGCCACCAUAGACUUCAGCGGGAAGAUGGCCAUGUUUAUCAAUAAUAUCUGGCUUCUUUUGUGGUGAUACUUAACAAAAAGGAUACCUGUGCUUUUCUGCUGGCUUUGUCUUUUGUAUUUUAAUCUACACAAGAUGUACUACAGAGUGGUAUGGUCUUCUGCUGUAUGCUUGAGGAGUAUGUGAGGUAAGAAGUCCAUUGGUUGCAGAUCUGUAUAUCUGCCAUUAUGUAAUUUGGUAAUUAUCUCCAUGAAGUUACAGAGUAACAUUAUAUAUUUACAAUCUCUCUACUGUGCCUGAGAGGGUUGUACAAUUGGAGGAUAUGCCACACAUAAUUACAGGCUUGGUACAGGAAAUGGUUCAGAAGGCCUUCAAACAGUGAUUUCCUAAGAAGCCUCUUAAAGUGUGCCCCAGAGCAGUUUUACGCUUAAAUACAUGAAUUGACAAGAAUAAGAAGGGCGCCUUUUAAAAGGAGCAGGUGUUUUGGAUCUUUAAUUUUUCAGUCGUGCUGUGUGGCCCAAAGCAUCAUCCCUUUAUUAUUUGUUCUAGUGGUUGUUGAAAGGGGAAAUACAUUUUUAUAUUGUCAUGAGUUAGAGUGAACUGAUAGAGACUGGUGGCUUACUCUUGUGCCUGCUGUUUGUAACAGUGAUUAAAAUGCCUUUCAUUUUAAGGAGCAUGGAUUAACAUCAGUUUCUGUUGACUUGUAUGCAUCCUACCCCAUGGCUGUCUACACUGGAAAAUUGAAUCAGGACAGUAGAGCUGUGUGUUUUGAAAGUGUUUAAGGUUCUCUGUGUUGUUUUGCAUGUAGUGUUGAGCUGAACGAUUGUGGCGUAAGUCAAGAGGCAUAUGUAUAAUAGAACUAGUGGCCUCCUACCCAGUUCUGAGUGAAGUCUGGCUCCUACCAUGUACCUCUGGUCAUGGAGCACGAAUCAGGAGGUGAGGUGCCCAUAUCUGUAAGUCAGGGGGAUUGAGAGGUUCUUGCAGUGAUAGACUUCUGCAGUGUAGGCAGGGCUUAUUUGUCAGAUAUACUAAACCCUCCCUGGGGACUUACAACUAAGAUACAAAUACAGAAUGUCCCUUCAAGGUGUGCAGGAAAUGUUGAGAGAUGGGAGAGGCAUCUCUGGGCUCUCCUGUCCAGCUAUCCACUCCGUCUCCUGGCAGCAAGGGGCCUUCUGCAGCAAAGCAUUCCACGGACUCGGUAAGGGAGACCAGGUCUUUGGGAGCUGGGCCUACUGCUGUUUUCCUGAAGACCAGAGAUGAAGGGAAACAUUGGCUUAGAGGGAGUGAAUGAUUCUGAGCUCAGGAAUGGUCUAUUCUAGUCAUUGGUGUAACCAGUAGCCUGCUACUAUUAGCAUGCCUUUCUCUGAGCCAAGCAACAGCUAGCAUCUUAAAUCUGUAUCAGCAUUCUUGUAUUUUCCUUUUUUGUGCUUUGUUCUUUCCAGACAAGGCUGUGUGGUUGCAGUGCCCCGAUCUCCUGUAGUUCUUGCGUGGGGAGAAUUCCUAGAGACUUCCAAGGGAUGUUUUCUCCCAGUAAGGACUAGAGGAUUUGACUGGCAGAGCAGUAUUUCCAGCCUGGGAUGCCCACCUGUACUUAUGAAUGCCAUCUCCCCUAGGCAGGGACUCCAGCAGUCAGCUGGUUUUGGAUAGAGCAGCCUGGCUGCUGCUCUCUAUCACUCUUUCCUGGGUAGAGCUGGUCACAAUAAGAGGGCAAUGAACUCUCCUUUUGAAUCUAAGAAUUUCCAAAUAAGUCUUCAAUGGGGAUUACCUCUAGGAACAAUGUAAUGGAUUUAUCCAGCACACGGAUGUGAGAUUAUUUGUAGAAAUGACAGCUGAACGAACACAUGGUGCUUUCAACAGCAAUCCAAAGUGCGUUCUGAGGAAGAAGGGCACCUUGCUAACAUCAGGAUAGAGGAAGACUCCCAGGGUUGUCUGUUGCUUCACAAAAACAUGUGCCUUUGUCAACAAGAUCUUGUUUUCUUUCAUCUGCAAUAAGUGGGAGAAGGGGUCAAGUAGUUCUGCGAUGGGCUGAAAAUGUACAGUCCCUGUUUCCAUGUAAUGGUGCAGUCUCCAUGUUGCCACAGUAACAAAGGGGUCAUUUUCAACUGUAUUAAGUGCCUAAUCCUCAGCUCAAGGUUGAUUUGAUACCUAUGUCUCUUGCAAAGUGUUUGUUUGUUGUUUUUUUUUUUGUAUAAAACAGUACUAGCAGGAAAAUAAAACUGAAUUAAUACAACA